AGAGUUUGAUCAUGGCUCAGAACGAACGCUAGCGGCGUGGAUAAGACAUGCAAGUCGAACGAGACUUUCAGCUGUAGCAAUACAGUUGAAAGUUUAGUGGCGAACGGGUGCGUAACACGUGGGCAAUCUGCCGAGAAGUGGGGGAUAGCUCGCCGAAAGGCGAAUUAAUACCGCAUGUGAUCAGGAAAGGAUUCUUUCCAACAUCAAAGCCGGGGCAACCUGGCGCUUCUUGAUGAGCCCGCGGCCUAUCAGCUAGUUGGUGAGGUAACGGCUCACCAAGGCUUUGACGGGUAGCUGGUCUGAGAGGACGACCAGUCACACUGGAACUGAGACACGGUCCAGACACCUACGGGUGGCAGCAGUCGAGAAUUUUUCUCAAUGGGGGAAACUCUGAAGGAGCGACGCCGCGUGGAGGAUGGAUGUCUUCGGAUUGUAAACUCCUGUCAUUUGAGAACAAGGCGCCGAUAUUAACUGUAUCGGCGUUGAUAGUAUCAGAAGAGGAAGAGACGGCUAACUCUGUGCCAGCAGCCGCGGUAAUACAGAGGUCUCAAGCGUUGUUCGGAUUCAUUGGGCGUAAAGGGUGCGUAGGUGGCGCUGUAAGUCAGGUGUGAAAUUUCGGAGCUUAACUCCGAAACUGCAUUUGAUACUGCGGUGCUUGAGGACUGGAGAGGAGACUGGAAUUUACGGUGUAGCAGUGAAAUGCGUAGAGAUCGUAAGGAAGACCAGUGGCGAAGGCGGGUCUCUGGACAGUUCCUGACACUGAGGCACGAAGGCCAGGGGAGCAAACGGGAUUAGAUACCCUAGUAGUCC
rnacentral:rRNA from 1 species